GACGUAGGGCGCGAGCGUUGUCCGGAUUUAUUGGGCGUAAAGAGCUCGUAGGCGGCUCGUUGCGUCAACCGUGAAAACCCGGGGCUUAACUUCGGGCUUGCGGUUGAUACGGGCGGGCUGGAGUUCGGUAGGGGAGACUGGAAUUCCUGGUGUAGCGGUGAAAUGCGCAGAUAUCAGGAGGAACACCGGUGGCGAAGGCGGGUCUCUGGGCCUAUACUGACGCUGAGGAGCGAAAGCGUGGGGAGCGAACAGG
rnacentral:rRNA from 1 species